GUGUGUGUCUGUGUGUGUGUUUGUGUGUUUCUGCUCUUUUGUCGUCUGUGUGAAAAUAAAACCUCUGACCUGUGGAGCGAUGCGGCUCACGAUGUCCGAGAUGUUCACGACGGCGACUCGGCGUCCGCGCUUCCCUAGGCGCUGUGGUGAGGGUGAGGUCGUGUCCCAGACGAUGUCCUGAAAGUCGGGCUGGAUCGUUAUGAGGAGAUUCUGUGGUGAAGCUGAGCCUGGACUGAGUCGGCGUCUGGACCGGGGUCUCCUGCCCUGAAACACAAACCACACUUUAUUUACACAAGGCAGAGGCGGGUGGUACUCGCCCGACUCAUGUAACUAGUCACUCA
ensembl:lncRNA